rnacentral:rRNA from 1 species
GGGAAAACACGCUGGAAACGGUGGCUAAUACCGGAUGUGCCGGAAGGUGAAAGGCUUGCUGCCUGAAGAUAAGCUCGCGUCUGAUUAGCUAGUUGGUGGGGUAAGAGCCUACCAAGGCGACGAUCAGUAGCUGGUCUGAGAGGAUGAUCAGCCACACUGGGACUGAGACACGGCCCAGACUCCUACGGGAGGCAGCAGUGGGGAAUUUUCCGCAAUGGGCGAAAGCCUGACGGAGCAAUACCGCGUGAGGGAGGAAGGCUCUUGGGUUGUAAAACCUCUUUUCUC